UACGGAGGGUGCAAGCGUUAAUCGGAAUUACUGGGCGUAAAGCGCACGCAGGCGGACUUUUAAGUGAGGUGUGAAAUCCCCGGGCUUAACCUGGGAAUUGCAUUUCAUACUGGGAGUCUAGAGUACUUUAGGGAGGGGUAGAAUUCCACGUGUAGCGGUGAAAUGCGUAGAGAUGUGGAGGAAUACCGAAGGCGAAGGCAGCCCCUUGGGAAUGUACUGACGCUCAUGUGCGAAAGCGUGGGGAGCAAACAGG
rnacentral:rRNA from 1 species